GACUGGUGUUGGGAAUAAAAUACCUCCCGACCGAAGUUUGUAAAAGAUCGGUCCUUCCAGGGCUCUUCUGGCUUCCGACCUUGUGUAGCGUCUCUCUGAACCCCUCGACCGUCCGAGCUCCCGGACUUCUCCGACAAUGAUCUUCUCCAUCCAUCUAUCCGGCCACUCCAAAGGCUCUCUAGGCCUCACUAUCAGCCGACCUUCUACAGUGAUCAACUAUUCUCUGAACUUCUUUCGAACUUCGUCAAUAUCUGAGCUUCUUCGACAAUGAGACUUCUACAGUAAUCAGACUCCAGCCAAGUUUCUACGACGAUCGACCACCUUCAGGUUCCAACCGAGCUCCUGCGAGAGCCGAACUUCUACUAC
rnacentral:lncRNA from 1 species